rnacentral:rRNA from 1 species
UACGAAGGGGGCUAGCGUUGUUCGGAAUCACUGGGCGUAAAGCGUGCGUAGGUGGUUUGUUAAGUCUGAUGUGAAAGCCCUGGGCUCAACCUGGGAAUUGCAUUGGAUACUGGCAGUCUAGAGUGCGGUAGAGGGUAGCGGAAUUCCCGGUGUAGCAGUGAAAUGCGUAGAUAUCGGGAGGAACAUCCGUGGCGAAGGCGGCUACCUGGACCAGCACUGACACUGAGGCACGAAAGCGUGGGGAGCAAACAGG